GUGCUCGCUUGGGCAGCACAUAUACUAAAAUUGGAAAGAUACAGAGAAGAUUAGCAUGGCCCGCCAAUGCUAACUCCUACAUUCUCACAUUUAU
rnacentral:snRNA from 1 species